AUAACGUAGCGAAGUUACGCUAAUACCGCAUAUUCUGUGAGCAGGAAAGCAGGGGAUCGCAAGACCUUGCGCUCUGGGAGCGGCCGAUGUCGGAUUAGCUAGUUGGUGGGGUAAAGGCCUACCAAGGCGACGAUCCGUAGCGGGUCUGAGAGGAUGAUCCGCCACACUGGGACUGAGACACGGCCCAGACUCCUACGGGAGGCAGCAGUGGGGAAUUUUGGACAAUGGGCGCAAGCCUGAUCCAGCCAUGCCGCGUGAGUGAAGAAGGCCUUCGGGUUGUAAAAGCUCUUUCGGCGGGGAAGAAAUUGCACGGGUUAAUACCCUGUGUAGAUGACGGUACCCGAAUAAGAAGCACCGGCUAACUACGUGCCAGCAGCCGCGGUAAUACGUAGGGUGCGAGCGUUAAUCGGAAUUACUGGGCGUAAAGCGUGCGCAGGCGGUUUGGUAAGUCAGAUGUGAAAUCCCCGGGCUCAACCUGGGAACUGCAUUUGAGACUGCCAGGC
rnacentral:rRNA from 1 species